GACGAACGCUGGCGGCGUGCUUAACACAUGCAAGUCGAACGGAAAGGCCCUGCUUUUGUGGGGUGCUCGAGUGGCGAACGGGUGAGUAACACGUGAGUAACCUGCCCUUGACUUUGGAAUAACUUCAAGAAACUGGGGCUAAUACCGGAUAGGAGCUCCUGCUGCAUGGUGGGGGUUGGAAAGUUUCGGCGGUUGGGGAUGGACUCGCGGCUUAUCAGCUUGUUGGUGGGGUAGUGGCUUACCAAGGCUUUGACGGGUAGCCGGCCUGAGAGGGUGACCGGCCACAUUGGGACUGAGAUACGGCCCAGACUCCUACGGGAGGCAGCAGUGGGGAAUAUUGCACAAUGGGCGGAAGCCUGAUGCAGCAACGCCGCGUGCGGGAUGACGGCCUUCGGGUUGUAAACCGCUUUCGCCUGUGACGAAGCGUGAGUGACGGUAAUGGGUAAAGAAGCACCGGCUAACUACGUG
rnacentral:rRNA from 1 species